rnacentral:rRNA from 1 species
GACGUAGGAGGCGAGCGUUAUCCGGAUUCACUGGGCGUAAAGCGCACGCAGGUGGCUGAGUCAGUCGAUUGUGAAAGCCCUGGGCUUAACCUGGGAAUUGCAGUCGAUACUACUCGGCUCGAGUAUGGGAGAGGGCAGUGGAAUUCCCGGUGUAGCGGUGAAAUGCGUAGAUAUCGGGAGGAACAUCAGUGGCGAAGGCGGCUGCCUGGCCCAAUACUGACACUCAGGUGCGACAGCGUGGGGAGCAAACAGG